UAAAUCUUAGACUAAACCAUAAUAAAACAUUAAUGAAAUCCUAAUCAAAUCCCAACCAAAUCCUAGACCAAACCAUAAUAAAAUGUUAAUAAAAUUGUAGUCAAAUCCUAAUCAAAUUCUAGAUCAAACUAUAAUAAAAUAUUGAUAAAAUUGUAAUCAAAUCCUAACUCAAUCCUAGAUCAAACUAUAAUAAAAAAUUAAUCAAAUCUUAAUCAAAUCUUAGCCAAAUCAAAGAUCAAAUCAUAAUAAAACAUUAAUGAAAUCCUAACCAAAUUCUAACUAAAUCCUAGAUCAAAUUCUGAUCAAAUCCUAAUCAAAUCUUAAAUUAUAAUCAAAUCCUAAUAAAAUUUUAAUCAAAUAUUAAGUCUUAAUA
rnacentral:lncRNA from 1 species